rnacentral:tRNA from 1 species
CGCGGUAGCUCAGCCUGGCAGAGCAGCCCCGCCCGUUCACGCGGGAGAGAGGGUGGUCACGGGUUCAAAUCCCGUCCGCGACG